rnacentral:rRNA from 1 species
AUACGGAAGGUCCGGGCGUUAUCCGGAUUUAUUGGGUUUAAAGGGAGCGCAGGCGGAGAUGCAAGCGUGACGUCAAAUUUCGGGGCUCAACCCCGUCUCGCGUCGCGAACUGCGUCCCUUGGUUGCGGUAAGGGGAGGCGGAACUCGUGGUGUAGCGGUGAAAUGCAUAGAUAUCACGAAGAACUCCGAUCGCGAAGGCAGCCUUCCGGCCCGUCAACGACGCUCAUGCUCGAAGGUGCGGGUAUCAAACAGGAUUAGAUACCCUGGUAGUCCGCACAGUAAACGAUGGACACCCGCGGUUUGGCCUAUAUGGCUGAGCCGCCAAGCGAAAGCGUUAAGUGUCCCACCUGGGGAGUACGCCGGCAACGGUGAAACUCAAAGGAAUUGACGGGG